UGGGGGCAGUGCCGCUCUCCCAGAUGGCCUCGAGUCGUCUCCGGGGAUGGCCCCUGACUUCAUCUCCAAAUGGAGCCGGCCUCGGUCCUUGACCCCCAGGCCAGCCGCUGGGAUUCCAAGAGGGACUGGACUUCCCCAUCCCCCAUCCCCCAGCGAGCAGCUUUGAUUCCAGCCAUCUGUGACCCCUUUGGUGUUCAUGAUCCUUCUCCCCACCCCAUCCCACCUCCCGGCUGCUGGCCAUCAGGCAGAGGCCUGCUACGUCUCUGCGCCCGGCAACGUCAAGCCAGCGCGGUGGCUGCUUUCCUACCUGGCAGGUGGGGGCCCAGGGAAGAGCUCCCCAUCGGGAUCAUGAAGGGAGCAGUGGUACAUCCCGCGACUGACUGAGCCGGUCCAUUGUCAGGGAGCACGUAUGUACUCGCAGAACUGUAGACAUCUGAUCCAGGAAGCUAGCGGCUGUGUUUCGUUUGGCAAUAAACCUGGCCGGGUGCCUUCGUACCUUA